UACGUAGGGGGCUAGGCGUUGUCCGGAAUCAUUGGGCGUAAAGAGCGUGUAGGCGGCCCGGUAAGUCCGCUGUGAAAGUCGGGGGCUCAACCCUCGAAUGCCGGUGGAUACUGUCGGGCUAGAGUGCGGAAGAGGCGAGUGGAAUUCCGUGGUGAUAGCGGUGAAAUGCGCAGAUAUCAGGAGGAACACCGAUUGCGAAGGCAGCUCGCUGGGACGUAACUGACGCUGAGACGCGAAAGCGUGGGGAGCGAACAGG
rnacentral:rRNA from 1 species